rnacentral:rRNA from 1 species
GAGACCGGCGCACGGGUGCGUAACGCGUAUGCAAUCUACCUUUUACAGAGGGAUAGCCCAGAGAAAUUUGGAUUAAUACCUCAUAGCAUANCAACUUCGCAUGAAGUCACUAUUAAAGUCACAACGGUAAAAGAUGAGCAUGCGUCCCAUUAGCUAGUUGGUAAGGUAACGGCUUACCAAGGCUACGAUGGGUAGGGGUCCUGAGAGGGAGAUCCCCCACACUGGUACUGAGACACGGACCAGACUCCUACGGGAGGCAGCAGUGAGGAAUAUUGGACAAUGGGCGCAAGCCUGAUCCAGCCAUGCCGCGUGCAGGAUGACGGUCCUAUGGAUUGUAAACUGCUUUUAUACGAGAAGAAACACUGCUUCGUGAAGCAGCUUGACGGUAUCGUAAGAAUAAGGAUCGGCUAACUCCGUGCCAGCAGCCGCGGUAAUACGGAGGAUCCAAGCGUUAUCCGGAAUCAUUGGGUUUAAAGGGUCCGUAGGCGGUUUAAUAAGUCAGUGGUGAAAGCCCAUCGCUCAACGGUGGAACGGCCAUUGAUACUGUUAAACUUGAAUUAUUAGGAAGUAACUAGAAUAUGUAGUGUAGCGGUGAAAUGCUUAGAGAUUACAUGGAAUACCAAUUGCGAAGGCAGGUUACUACUAAUGGAUUGACGCUGAUGGACGAAAGCGUGGGUAGCGAACAGGAUUAGAUACCCUGGUAGUCCACGCCGUAAACGAUGGAUACUAGCUGUUGGAAGCAAUUUCAGUGGCUAAGCGAAAGUGAUAAGUAUCCCACCUGGGGAGUACGUUCGCAAGAAUGAAACUCAAAGGAAUUGACGGGGGCCCGCACAAGCGGUGGAGCAUGUGGUUUAAUUCNAUGAUACGCGAGGAACCUUACCANGGCUUAAAUGNANAUUGACCGUUUUGGAAACAGAACUUUCGCAAGACAAUUUACAANNGCUGCAUGGUUGUCGUCAGCUCG